GACGAACGCUGGCGGCGUGCUUAACACAUGCAAGUCGAACGGAAAGGCCCUGCUUUUGUGGGGUGCUCGAGUGGCGAACGGGUGAGUAACACGUGAGUAACCUGCCCUUGACUUUGGGAUAACUUCAGGAAACUGGGGCUAAUACCGGAUAGGAGCUCCUGCUGCAUGGUGGGGGUUGGAAAGUUUCGGCGGUUGGGGAUGGACUCGCGGCUUAUCAGCUUGUUGGUGGGGUAGUGGCUUACCAAGGCUUUGACGGGUAGACGGCCUGAGAGGGUGACCGGCCACAUUGGGACUGAGAUACGGCCCAGACUCCUACGGGAGGCAGCAGUGGGGAAUAUUGCACAAUGGGCGGAAGCCUGAUGCAGCAACGCCGCGUGCGGGAUGACGGCCUUCGGGUUGUAAACCGCUUUAGCCUGUGACGAAGCGUGAGUGACGGUAAUGGGUAAAGAAGCACCGGCUAACUACGUG
rnacentral:rRNA from 1 species